rnacentral:rRNA from 1 species
UACGAAGGGGGCUAGCGUUGCUCGGAAUCACUGGGCGUAAAGCGCACGUAGGCGGACUCUUAAGUCAGGGGUGAAAUCCUGGAGCUCAACUCCAGAACUGCCUUUGAUACUGGGAGUCUUGAGUUCGGGAGAGGUGAGUGGAACUGCGAGUGUAGAGGUGAAAUUCGUAGAUAUUCGGAAGAACACCAGUGGCGAAGGCGGCUCACUGGACUGGUAUUGACGCUGAGGUGCGAAAGCGUGGGGAGCAAACAGG